rnacentral:rRNA from 1 species
GACGAACGCUGGUGGCGUGCUUAACACAUGCAAGUCGAACGGUGAAGCCCAGCUUGCUGGGUGGAUCAGUGGCGAACGGGUGAGUAACACGUGAGCAACCUGCCCCUGACUCUGGGAUAAGCGCUGGAAACGGCGUCUAAUACUGGAUAUGAGACGUGGCCGCAUGGUCAACGUUUGGAAAGAUUUUUCGGUUGGGGAUG